CCCACUAUUCAAAUUCUGUAAGUCUCUGUGUUUAGGUAGAAACUUUCUAUGAAACAGCACAAAAACAUCUGUCUACUACAGAGGAAGCCGUGGGGAAGACUGAAAGAGUAGACUUCUCCUAAAGAAUUACAGACCAACUAUUACAUUUAACUUUAUUUCCAAAAACAAAAGAACUUUACUUCAAAGUGUUUAAGACAAAGGUUCAAUUUUGAUAAUAAUAGUUUUACUUUCUGUGAGGAAGAAAUAGAAACUACAGAUUGUAUAUUUUUCUUCUGUCUUUAUAGUAACACAUUCUGGUCUGAUAUGUGUAAAUUUUAUCAGAAAUGAUAUUACAUUGGGAACCAUUAUAGAGGAUAAGAAAGCUGAAUAUUUAUUAAAAAAAUUAUUCAUGUUAGAGAAAUUCUUUAUCCAUAAUUGUAGAUGUAUUAAGACACAACCUUUAUUAAUGUUUUUUAUGAAAGAACUAGCUCUAUACUGCAAAUCACUAAAUUGUAUGGAAAAAAAGCAGCAAUAAACAACUAAAUAUAAUUGAUUCCUUUUAGAUAUUACCCCUUAGAUAUGUUAUUUAUUUUGUUUACUUUUGUUAUACGUUUUUUUUUCUUCCUUAUUCUGCGAUCCGUUUUCUUAAGAACGUUACACUGAUGUUAAACUUGUCAUAUUGUUGUACACUUUCUACUUAAAUAAAAAAAAACCAAAACAAAUUGCGACGCUGUAACCACAGGAAGGUGUUGGUAUGGCAACGACAGACGGUACUUUUCUGUGAUGAUGAAACUACAUGAAGCACUUUGAAAAUGUCACUACAGGAACUACGUGAUGCUCUGAUUACAUGACGUGCCUUUGCUGUGAGAGCUGCUUGUACUGUGACGCUGUAUUCCUGCUCUUGCACUGAUGGAAUGGAAUAUUUUUAUAUAUUUAUCCUAUGGUGCUUUUACUUCAAUAAAAGUUGUUUUUUUCUUUAAAUGGCCCCUGAAACAUGUGAUCGGCCACUACUCAGAGUCAUAGAAAACUGACUUCCAGUCAGUUUAACAGAAUAAUACCGGAAGUAGGUUGAAGUUAUUCCACCUUCAAAAUGAAGCCGUAAACCCGUGACAAAGUGAAGCACUGUGGCUUCCUCAAUACUGUCAUUUAAUGUUCUUUAAUGUUCUUUAAUGGACGCGAAUUCAACAUGUUUUACUGUGGUCUUCGUCAGUAUGCCAACUAGUCUGCCACCAAGCAGACCUUAGUUUUGGAAAUUAUCACCGGAAAUGAGCAGCUCCAUGUUGUUGAGCUUGACGUCGCGGGCUGAAUCUCAGCAUGGACCCAGUAUCCUCCCCACCGACGUCCGACUGCUAAACGGGUCGUACUUUAGAGAAACGGGACCCUGGUUCAUCGUCGUGUAGCUGUGAGAACGGGUGAGAUGCCGAAGGAUUCCCUGCUAAGAUCUCCAUUGUAAAAGAGAAGAGGAGGGAUAGAGCUGACUUGUUACAAGAAUCCAGCACCAUGAGACUGAAACCCCAAAGGCUCCUCUCUAUGGGGAGUGUGUGUUGACUGUUCAGCUUGACGAUGAUGAUGUGUGUCGUGCUGAAGAGGAAGAGGAAGAAGAGGAGGUGGAGUUUUAUCUUUUAU